rnacentral:tRNA from 1 species
UGAUGAUUAGCUCAGUUGGUAGAGCAUGCACCUCAUACGUGUAAAGUCACAGGUUCGAGUCCUGUAUCAUCAA